ACACUGCACACUGCCUCUGAGAUGAGACAGAGCUCUACAGGCUGGGAGUCUGAGGAAGCCGGACCUGGGUAGCGCUGCUCAGGUCUAUCCCUCACAACAGCUGCAUUCAGAGGGAAUCACCAUCGUCUUACCGGGUAUGAACCGGAGCCCUGACCGAGAAAGCUGACAGGUAUAUGCCAACCCCAAGCAGUGGGGUCCAGAGAGGGCACUUGGUACUGGAGACCAUCUCCGCUUUCUGGCUUCUGCUUCAACUUUCUUUUUAUGGAAACGCCUUGUUGUCACUUCUCUAUUUUGCAGCUUUGGGCCAUUUUCCUAACAGAUGAGGUUUCUGGAGAUUCGCUUCUCAAUCCUUUGAGGAUGACCUACCCAUGGGUGGCUCUACCCACAGUGGGCUGGGCCCUCCCACAUCAAUCAGUAACCAAGAAAAUGCCCAGCAGAUAGCCACUGGCCAGUCAGACAACUCUUCAGCUGAGUGAGAUUUCCUUUUCCCAGGGAAAAGCAAAGCCCACUUCACCAUUGGCCAUCAGGUCCCAGGAGGAUCACUUUUCUUAUGCAGCAUCCUACCUCUGCGCCAUGGGAAGAAGCCAACCCACUUUCCAAUGGCAAAACCGAGUUCAUACACACCAUAUUCUUCAGCGUCUGUACUUCCCCUGCCAGUUGGAUCUGUGUUCUUUUGCAGUUCUGGGGACUUUUCAAGACUCUACUGAUUAAAUCUGCAAAGAAUAUCAAUAAUGCAAUUCAGAAACUGGCUUUCUGAGCUAUGGCGGUGUCUUUCCCUCUCUUUGUGACCAAGUCCGUGAGCUCUCUUGCCUUUGAAGAUCCACGAUGUUUUAAACUCAUGAGACCCAAGGUAGAAGUGUCCAGACAACUAGGAGCUAAGUCAAGCUGCUUCCAUUUGCAAGCCAGGACUUGACUGGAGGGAAUACAAUGGAGGUGAAGACAUUUCCGUGUUAACCUGUGAGUGCCUUUGGACCAUGAGAAUAAUGUAUCUUUGGGAAAGACAAUGGGGUGGCUGCUUGUUGAUGCCUCCUGGGUUGCUGUUUGAUGAGCUCUGAAAUACCCACUCUGUUCACACACAGGGUCAUGGAAGGCACGGGGGUCUUAAGUGCACUCGUCCUAGGGUCGUCAGUGAGCUAUGUGCAGAUGAGCCCCUCUGCUUCUCCUGGAAUCAUCAUUAGAUGGCCAGAAAGGAUCUCCAUGUUGGACUCUGUUCUGAUGCAUCCUGUCUGCAGGGAUAGAGAACACCGGAGCUAAAGAAACCCCAGCUUUUCUAGAGAGUCUGGAUUAAUCUGAACUACAUGGAUUACGUUCAAGCCCAGGAUGAGUGGCUCAAAGCACGGCUGUGAGCGAGUGAGCCGAAGAAAAAUUGGGAUCAUAUUUUAUUCAACCAAGAGAAAUGGAAUCCAGCAUAGUAGAUUUCAUGUUCUUGGGAAAUAUGUCCUGUCAAUGCUGUUAUUGAGAAGAAAGGCAGAGAACACAUCCUCCCAGUCAAGGAAGAGAAGAAGAUGUGGCCAUGGCUUUGUGAGCUGUGGCAGGGAGGGGGACCUAGCAUGGGAGCAAAGGUUUCUGGAAGCUUCCAGACAACCAAGUGUGGGUGUCAGAUCCCUGUGAGUGGUUAUUGCAGAAGACUUCCUGUGUUUUCUGUGGAUAAAUACACAAAAGUAUUUAUUACUUCAGCACAGGCAGGCUUUAUACAUUUGGUUGUAACAACUGCAUUAGAAACUUUGCCCUCACAUGGAUCCUAAGAGGAGUGUUAUUGUCAUGGUUGUUUAUUUCUUUUUUGCUCUCUCUUUUUUUAAUAGAGACAGAUACAGGAGAGAAGAAAGUGC
ensembl:lincRNA